rnacentral:lncRNA from 1 species
AUAAAAUCAACAUAAUAACAAUAAUCCAGGACUAAUCAUUACUAAUGCGGAAGUCAAACAAACUACUUACAAAAAUCCCCAAGAACCGAAAGUCAUCGUACAAGAUCUACUAACAAAGAUUACGUCUAAAGAGAUAUUCAAAAAUAAAGUAAAUAAAGAACGUUUCAUUGUCUGAAAGAUAGACAAAAACAAUAAGAUGAUCCAUGGCAGCCUGGAGAUGGAGUGCUCACCCUUGGAUCAAGAUCUGCUAUCAAAUUCUAGAGUUGAGGUCAUGUCUGAGCCUCUAGAACACUUUCUACACUCAACAAAAGAAGAGUACAGGGUAGUAUCAGUACAAACCACUAUGUACUGGUAGGUAUCAUAGGCCAACACAAUUUAAUAAAAUGUUCAUAAUAUAAAUCAAAUAAAAAGUAGACAGGAAUCAUCACAUAACAACUUUUUAAUGAAUCAAUUAUACAACAACAGGAGGCCAAACAAUACUCACAAAUAAGUCACAUAACCAUCAAGAUAUCAAUCAUACUAUAACAUCCAUAAAUCAACACAAUAUGUACAUAUAUGCAAUGGGACUUAUUUUUACCCAAAUAGUCAUGACCUGCAGGGAACAAUCUAUGUUCAUGUACCAUACCGGCGUGGUACUCGAUCCAACAUAUACAUAUCCGUACCAGCGUAGUACCCGAUCCAACAUAUACAUAUUCAUACCGGCGUGGUACCCAAUCAAACAUAAACAAUUAUUAUCAAUAUAAAAUUUACAUAACCUCACAGCAUACAUCAUAAUGUACCAAGUUUACAAGUACACUUAAAGUCAUAAGACAAUUCCAUCAAGUAAAUUUUCAAUAAUCAUUUAUACACGCAUUAACAAUCAAAACAUCAGCAACUUCAAGCAUGUAUGAAUACCAUUCAACAAGUAUCCAAUUUAGGAGCAUACACAUAAUUAAGUCGAGUAUAAACUUCAAUUAAACCAUAACCUACCUCAAUGGAAGAAACCAAAUGCAAGCUACUUUGCAAGGGCCUUGCCCUUCCGUAAAACUUCUGAUGGUCAAAAUCUGUUUGGAUAUAUAAUCUCCAUAAGAGUAUGAACUAGUACAUUAGAUUUCAACUAAAAAGAAUCAUCUUUCUACCUCCAAAUCAAGAAUUGUUACCCUAAGAUUUCUAGACCAAAAAUCCUAAAUGUCACAUUAUAUCCGAUAAUCACUCAGUAAUUUUUGGGACCAAAACUGAAAAGAAAAGAACAAGUGUUGUUACUACUGGACGUUAUGCAUGAAAAGAAAACUGCAACUUACAAAUUGCAUAAAAAAUAAUAGUUUUUGGAACUUUUUAUAUCAUUAUUAUCUAAUAAUUAACAAUCAUUACUUUACCACUAAUUUGUACUAUCAAUGAUUAACUAAUCAUCACUACUAUAAGUAUUACUUGCUUAACAGAAAACAAUUUAUACCCAAAUCUUUCCUUUUUAUGAUCUUCACUAUACUGUGACUGUAUACCCAGUACACCCUAUAACCGUCAUAAGCGGAUGAUUAACUAAUCAUUACUUUAUUAUAUAUUUACUAAUUAAACCAAAUUCUUAAUAUACUAGGAAGUUAACAUGAAAGAUGUCGGAAUUCCUUGAAGUGGUAAUGGAAACUAGGGUUUGCUAACCAUCGUUCACCUCUUCUUGUGACUAUUUUCUUCUAUUUUUAUUAUAUAAGGUAAAGCCUUCCCACUUAAAUUAAUUCUUGUACUAGCCAUAUAAGAAAAUAAAUUUAAACUUUGGCCCAUUAAAUCACUAUUAAAUUCAUUAUUUAAAACACCCAAGACUUUGAAUAGAUUAUCAAAAUUUAUUGGGACCUCGAGAAAAUAAUUCAAAUAAUGACUUAAAUCACUUUCUUACAUCUCAAAAAUUGAUACUACUCAUCUUGUGGAUCAUAAAUUCACGUACAUAAAUUAGGGGGAGAGAUAAAAUUUGGAAGAUGAGAAAAUUUUACAAACGACUGAAAGGGUUGUUACAUCAGAUACCAAUUAAACAAUCGUUCAUGCCCGAACGAUAACAAGUGACAAGGAGGGGAAACAGGAAAUUACAUGAAUCAGCAAAAAGAUGCGGAUACUUGCUACGCAUGUCUGCUUUGGUCUCCCUAGUGGUUUCCUCAAGUUACGAACAACCAAAUACCUAGCCGAGUCUAUGCGUACCCCCACCGCCUCAGAUUCGAAAGGUUUAAUCAGCAUGCAUCAACACAAGGCAUAUUCUUCACCUAUAUAUAUGCAACCGUCCUAUACCGGCUGAUAAAUAUAGGUGCAUACUGGUGAUAAAUGAUGCCCAUGCAGGAAUGAAUGCAAAGUACACAAUCAAUAUCACAACUCAUCAUAACUAUCCUCAUCAGGACCAUCAUCAUCGUAAUCAACCUCCGGCCUUACCGGAUAUUAAUGCAUCAUCAAUAGUAUCCUCCGGCCUUGUCGGAUGUCAACAUAUCAUCAUAAUAGUGUCCUCCAGCCUUGCCGGAUAUCAACAUAUCAUCAUAAUAGUCAUUACCCUAUAACAUAUACUAAAUUACUCAUAAAAAUAGUUAUAUCACCAUAGAAUAUCUAUCUAGUCAAUACUUCUAACUACUCAUUAUUAGCUAACGAACACUUAUUAUAAUAGAAUCACUAGUUCGCUAGUCAUCAAAUAACCUCUAGUUAUUAGCCUAAACAUUAUCCUUCACAUAGUCCUUAUUAAUGGGAUAGAAACUAACCACUCUUUAUUUUAAUAACCAACAUCUAACAUCUAGUAAAAGUUCAUCACUAGACCAAAACCGCCAUUUAUCUACCAUUCAUUAUUAUCAACUAAUCAUCCAAUAUCCGUUAAUCAUUACUAGACAACACAUUACUACUUGUCACCUAACCACAUUUUUUUUAACUACCACUAUUCUUAUCUAACUAUCGUUUACCAACUAAUCCUUGCUUAACUAUUCAUUAGUUAACCAUUUAGCAACUAUUCAAAGUUAUUAACUAGUCACCUCUUAUUAACAACAUCUCUUAUUAUCUAACCUCAUUAAUACACAACUCCUCGUUUAUCGAUUGAUCUACAUUACGAACUUAGUCAUCAAUACCAACUAAUCUUUACCUAUGCUAGACCCGACCUCACCACAAGUCACAUAUUAACCAUCGCUUGCUACCAUGGUUAAACUAAGGAAGAUUCAUUAACUAAUACAUUAGAUUCCUAGCCUUCACCAGUAUCCAAUCAAUAAAGUCAUACGCAACAUACCUCAUCUUUCUCUAUCCUAUACUGGAGAGAUGUGUAUACAAAUAUAUUUAUAUUCAUAAACUAUAAUCGUAUCCUUUACACUUAUAAACAUACCUCAAAUAUUCAAUUAUUAUCAUAACACAAUACUUGGCCCAAUAAUUUAUCCGAAAUAGUCACAACAUCAUAAUCACGGCCUAGGCCCAUAUACAUAUUCAAAACUCAUAUCAAUAAUCAUAUUUAUACGCUGUAGCAUAUCUCUAAUCAUCUCACAUAUAGGAGGUACCUCCCAUAUUAGAGGCAUAAUAUAGAUAGAUAUAUAAUCGUCUAUAGGAUAUCUUAUAUCGAUAGGUCAUGCAUAAUGACUAUGAGGAAUAUCACCACUCUAGGCUAAUUUGCAUAUCUAAGAGAAAAUAACAUCUCUAUAGGCCACAUAAAGUAUCUGGGAGGAAUAUCAGCUCUAAAUGCCCAAUAUCACUUCCAUAAAAAGUAUCAUAACUAUAAUUCAAAACCACAACCCAAGAAUAUCAAUACAUGUUAUCAAGUUAUGAAGAAACCUUAUUCUAAGGUUUACUAGCCUCAUCAAUGUCUAACAUCUGAAACUAAGUCCACAAGACUUAACAUAAUAUAUGUUUAGGCCUAAGUGGGCCAGAUAAUCCUACUUCUAAUCCUCAAUUUUCAUAAUUAGGCAUACUAUGCCCUAAACCAGGUUAAGGUAUCUAGUUUAUCUUCUAGAUGUCAAGUAAGUCAUAUUCAAGCCUAAGAUAUCAAAUUCAACUAGAAAUAAGGGUACUCAAGUCAAUUGUACCCAACUUACAAUUUCAAGACUACCACACUAGCCCAAUAAGGCUAAAUAUACAAAUCAUGCUUCAAGUACUAAAACCACAUCCCAAACAUAGGUUUACAUCAUAAACACGCUACAACUAAUCUAAACUAGAGAGAGAAAGCAAUAGGAUUCAAAAAGGGGUACAAACAUGCCAUUUUACGGGUCCCAAGCCCACAUCUAAACUCCAAACAAUAACAAUUGAGGCCAAGUCAUCCUACUUAUAAUCAAGCCUAACAUCCACAUCCUUGCACAACAUAUAUCACACAUUAUCUAUGAAGAAAAAAAGAUAGAAGCCUACCAGAACCCACACUUAGAAAACUUUGCAUCAAGCUUUUUCUCUUCUAACAAACCCAAAAAAAUCGUUAAGUGAUUCUCAUAUUCCUUUUUACUCUUAAAAUAAAUCAGAAUAUCAUCAAUAAUGACAAUCACGAAAUAAUUCAAAUAGGUUUUAAAUAUCCCAUUGAUCAAACUCACCAAAAAUAGUUGUGGAUUAGUUAGUCUAUAAGAUAUCACAAGAAACUCAUAGUGCCCAUACCGGGUUUGAAAAACAGUCUUAGGAAUAUCGUCAGGCCGAAUCUUUAGCUGAUGAUACCAGAGAUCAAAUCAAUCUUAGAAAAUAUGGAUGGACUCAGCAACUGGUCAAAUAAAUCAUCGAUACGGGCUAAAGGAUACUUAUCACGAAAUGUAACUUAUCUAAUUGCCUAUAGUCUAUACACAUAUGAAGACUACCAUCCUUACUCUUCACAAAUAAGACAAUAGCACCCCAUCGAGAGGCACUCGAAUGGAUAAAAUCCUUACUCAACAAAUUCUGCAACUAAGCCUUUAGCUCCCUUAACUCAGCUGGAGUCAUCCUAUAGGGAGGAAUAGAAAUAAGACAAGUACCUGGCUCUAGAUCAAUACAGAAAUCAAUGUCAUAGCUUGGUGGCAUACCAGGCAAAUCUUUAGGAAAAACCUCUUGGAACUCACACACAAAAGAAACUAACUCAAUAGAUGGCACCUCUGUGGAAGUGUCCUAAAGAAAAGCUAGAAGGCCAAAAAACCUCUCCCAGUUAACCUUUUUGCACGCAAAAAGGAAAUAAGUUUCAUUGGACCAAGACUAUAAUUACCCUCAUAUUCAAAUCUAUUUAUUUUAGACAUAGCUAAAGUCACUGUCUCAGCAUGACAAUCUAAUAUAGCAUGAUAUGGAGACAACCAACUCAUACCCAGAAUUAUUUUAAAAUCUACCAUGAUAGAAUAACUAAAUCUGCCAAAGUUUGAUACCCCAUAAAUAUAAUAGAAAAAGAAUGAUAAACUCUAUCAACAACAACAAAAUCACUAAUAGGAGUAGACACGUGAAUCGAAAAGUCAAGCAAAUCACACACCAUGUCUAAACCCAUAGCAAAAUUGACAGACACAUAUGAGAAAGAAAAACCAAGAUCAAAUAAUAUAGUGGCCAUCCGAUCACAGACAAGAUUAGUACCUAUAAUGACAAUGUUUGAUACCUCUACCUUACACCUACCCAAAAAGGCAUUGAUAUGGGCCCUACCAUUGAUUUGAGCAUUAUUUUUAUCAAGUUGAGAACUACUUCAACGAGGUUGAUUACCAUUCUACCUACCUGAUGACCGCUACAACCACUCUAUGAAUGACCUCUACCACUACCACCACCUCUCCUACCUGCUAGAACUAGAACUCGAGAAGCAUAUUUUUGGCCAAACUAACCAUAAUGCCUCAAAUUAGGACAAAACCUCUUAAUGUGACUCACUCCACCGCACCCAUAACAUACUCAAACCCCUAGAAUAAGAACCACUGAAACUACCACCUUUGCAGGCAUUCUUUUCUACUGCCUAAGAUUAGUAAACUCAUCCCUUUUACUAUUUCUCAAAGUACGAGGCAUGUACUUUUCUUGAAAAAUUGAGUAAAACUAAGUCCAAGUCAUGGGAGACAAACCUGCAUCCCUACACUCUACAUAAGCUCUCCACCACAUCUUGGUAUCCCCUUAGAACUGAAAGGUAAAUAGUUAUACACCAAACCUCUCAACCAUACCCAUCUUUGAGAAUAAAAAUGAAAAAAAAGUCACAUACCAAUUGGAAUCACCAGAUACCAAUUGAAAUCAAGUAAUAGCAUGUAAGAAAGAAGAAUUUGAAUUUUCCUAGUGUCCUAUAGCCUUUCAAAGAAAAGUAUAGAAGUCUCCAUACUGUUCCACAAGACUCUACUAGACAUGUUCUUGUAAGACGAGAUCGAUGAACCUAGGUCUCUAAUACCAACUUUAUCACAACCCAAAUGGCCAUGAGUGGCACCGAUACUAAUCUUUCUGUGGGAGAACCAUCUAAAUUGAACCAUUACCCAGUCACUUAAUCAAUAUUAAGAUGAUGUUAUUAUAAAAUAAAUAUAAUAACAAUAAUCCAAGACUAAUCAUUAUUAAUGUGGGAGUCAAACAAAUUACUUACUAAAAUUUCCAAGCCCCAAAACUCAUCGUACAAGAACUACUAACAAAGAUUGCAUCUAAAGAGAUAUUCAAAAAUAAAGUAGAUAAAGCAUUUUUCAUUUCCCGAAAGAUGGACAAGAAUAAAUAAGAUGACCCAUGGUAGCCUGAAGAAGGAGUUCUCACCCUAGGGUCAAUAUGCUAUCAAACUCUAGAGUUAAGGUCAUGUCUAAGCCUCUAGAAUAUUUUUUGCACUCAACAAAAGAAGAGUACAGGGUAGUAUCAGUACAAACCACUAUGUACUAGUAGGUAUCAUAGGCCAACUCAAUUUAAUAACAUGCACACAACAUAAAUCAAAUAACAAGUAGACAAGCAUCGUCACAUAACAAAUAUUUAAUAAAUCAAUAAUACAAUAACAACAGGACAAACAGUGCUCACAAAUAAGUAAUAUAACCAUCAAGAGUAUCAAUCAUACUAUAAAUAUCCAUAAAUCAACACAAUAUAUACACAUGCUAUGAGAGUUGUUUUUGCCCAAAUAGUUAUGACCUGCAGGGAAUAAUCUAUGUUUAUGUACCAUACCGGCAUGGUACCCGAUCAAACAUAUACAUAUCCGUACCAGGAUGGUACCCUAUCCAACAUAUACAUAUCCAUACUGAUGUGGUACCCGAUCCAACAUAUACAUAUCUGUAUUGGCGUGGUACCCGAUCCAACAUAUACAUAUCCAUACCAGCAUGGUACCCAAUCCAAUAUAUACAUAUCUGUACUGGUGUGGCAUCCAAUCCAGCAUAUAUAUAUCCAUACCGGCGUGCUACCCGAUCCAACAUAUACAUAUUCGUACCGGCGUGGUACCCAAUCCAAUAUAUAUAUAUCCAUACCGGUGUGGUACCCGAUCUAAAAUAUAUAUUUUUAUACUGAUGUGGUACUCGAUCCAACAUAUACAUAUGCGUACCAGCGUGGUACCCGAUCCAACAUAAAUAAGUAUUAUUAUUAUCCAAUUUACACAACCUCACAUCAUAUAUCAUUAUGUACCAAGUUUACAAGUACACUUAAAGUCAUAAGACAAUUCCAUCACGUAAUUUUGCAAAAAUUAUUUAUACACGUAUUAACAAUCAAAACAUCAACAACUUCAAGCAUGUCCGAAUACCAAUCAACAAGUAUCCAAUUUAGGAGCAUACACAUAAUUAAGUCAAGUCUAAACUCCAAUUAAACCAUAACCUACCUCAAUUGAAAAAAUCAAAUGCAAGCUAUUUUGCAAGGGCCUUGCCCUUCCGUAAAGCUUUUGAUGGUCAAAAUCUAUUCGGAUGUAUAAUCUCCAUAAGAGUAUGAACUAGUACAUUAAAUUUCAACUAAACAGAAUCAUCAUUCUAACUCCAAAUCAAGAAUUGUUACCCUAAGAAUUAUAGACAAAAAAUCCUAAAUGUCACAUUAUAUCCAAUAAGCACUCAGUAAUUUUUGGGACCAAAACUGAAAAGAAAACAAAAAGUGUUGUUACUACUGGACAUUAUGCAUGAACAAGAAACUUCAACUUACAAAUUACAUAAAAAAUAAUAAUUUUUGGCUCUCUUUAUAUCAUUAUUAUCUAAUAAUUAACAAUCAUUACUUUACCACUAACUUGUACUAUCAAUGAUUAAUUAAUCAUGACUACUAUUGGUAUUACUUUCUUAAUAGAAAACAAUUUAAACCCAAAUCUUUAUUUUUUAUGAUCUUCACUGUACCGUGGCUAUAUACCCAAUACACCCUAUAACUAUCAUAAGCGAAUGAUUAACUAAUCAUUACUUCAUUAUAUAUUUACUAAUUAAACCAAAUUCUUAAUAUACUAGGAAGCUAACCUGAAAGAUGUUAGAAUUUCUUGAAGCGGUAAUGGAAACUAGGGUUCGCUAACCAUCAU